UACGAAGGGGGCUAGCGUUGUUCGGAAUUACUGGGCGUAAAGGGCGCGUAGGCUGUGCUGUAAGUCAGGCGUGAAAGCCCCGGGCUCAACCUGGGAAUUGCGUUUGAUACUGCGGCGCUGGAAGGUGGGAGAGGAUGGCGGAAUUCCCAGUGUAGAGGUGAAAUUCGUAGAUAUUGGGAAGAACACCGGUGGCGAAGGCGGCCAUCUGGCCCACAUUUGACGCUGAGGCGCGAAAGCGUGGGGAGCAAACAGG
rnacentral:rRNA from 1 species